rnacentral:rRNA from 1 species
CCUACGGGCGGCAGCAGUGGGGAAUAUUGGACAAUGGGGGCAACCCUGAUCCAGCCAUGCCGCGUGUGUGAAGAAGGCCCUCGGGUUGUAAAGCACUUUCAGUGAGGAAGAACGCCUGGUGGUUAAUACCCAUCAGGAAAGACAUCACUCACAGAAGAAGCACCGGCUAACUCCGUGCCAGCAGCCGCGGUAAUACGGAGGGUGCGAGCGUUAAUCGGAAUUACUGGGCGUAGAGCGCGCGUAGGUGGCUUGAUAAGCCGGUUGUGAAAGCCCCGGGCUCAACCUGGGAACGGCAUCCGGAACUGUCAAGCUAGAGUGCAGGAGAGGAAGGUAGAAUUCCCGGUGUAGCGGUAAAAUGCGUAGAGAUCGGGAGGAAUACCAGUGGCGAAGGCGGCCUUCUGGACUGACACUGACACUGAGGUGCGAAAGCGUGGGUAGCAAACAGGAUUAGAUACCCUUGUAGUC